AUUGAGAAGUCCAUAAUUUCAGUUCAGAAAACCAUAGAUGUUGCCAUAAAACACGACAGCAGCGCAUGUGUUUUGUUUACAGCUUUUCUGUCUAGCCAUUACACAUCGUUCAGACAGACAAUGCUGCUGAAGUGUGAAGUAAUUGAGAGCUGUGCAGGGUGAGUUAUAUCAGCUAAGCUCGAGGCCAGCAGCAUCUGUCACAAGAUCUGGCAACAAGUCAGUCACAUCCCAUGGCUGUGCGAUGGAUCCCAGCAUGGUGAUCACUGAUCCUUUCCCAAUCAUCAGGCUUCUUGCCUUUCUCUAGAGGAGAGCGUGUGGCUCUCAGGAUGCUACCUGCUGUGGCCACAUAGGUUUCCAAGGGACACCAGCCAGAUGGGUUGGGUAUCUGCAACCACCUGACAGGCAGCAGCAGAGCAGAGGAGAGGAUGCUGUCUGAGCAUUCUGGCACCAGGAUACUAGUUAUUAAAAGAUUCAGUCUGGCCAGCCCUGAAUUGCACUUGUGUUACUACAUACUUGCACACCCCACAUCUCCAACACUAACAUUAUGAGGUGAUCUGUAUUUGUCUGGAAAGAUUGGGAAUGGGUGCUGUAAGGUAUCUUUACAUUGCAGCUGUAAGGAACAUAUUCUGGACAGUUCCAGCACUUCAAAAAUCAUUAGAGUGUAUUAAAUCUGUAGCUGUGAAAUCCCUUUCUAGAUGGAAAACUGAAGUCUACAAGAUUUAUUUAUUUUAAAGACAGUGCUGAUGUAUUUAACAAUAUAUUGAAUACAGAAUGCUUUCUGUAAGCCACAGAUGGCUUCAAACAAUAGCUCAGACAACAGCUCCAAGAUCCGUCCAGUGAACCUCACUGGUUCAACUCAGAAACUUAAAGAUGGUUAUUCAAGUUACAGUAUUGUUAGCUACUUCUAUGUUAGUGUCUCUUUUGCAGAUUUUUUUUUUACUACUAGAACACAAUUAGCUCUAAUGUCUUUCACUGAUCAUUAAAUUUAUCUUAUCGCUAGCCUCAAGUUUGUAUGUCCCCAUUACUGACUGGAACCACAAACAUCUGUUGUGUAUUUAAAACAAGAGUGUAGUCUGAAUUAACUGUAUCAUAAAUCAGAACAAGUCUGACUUGUAUUAAUCCUCUGCAGAUGUGUUUUGUUUGUAAUGCUCAUCUCCUUUUAAGAAUCCGUUUGUGAAUUCUGUGGCAGCAGGACCAACUCAGUCAUUUGUGUAAUCCAUGCCUCCAUAAAACACAACAAGGGUAAGAAAUCUGGGUAUUAAAGUGAAGAUUUCAGUGCAUACAUCUAAAAAUAUUUUUCUCCUAAAUAAGUACAUAACUCAGCAAAAUAUCAGG
rnacentral:lncRNA from 1 species